rnacentral:sRNA from 1 species
GAUACCAGAGUCAAAAGGUCAUAAAUCCGGUGCAAGCUUGCAUGCAGGAGAAUUUGUGACCUUGGGACCCGCCAAAAACAUGAGUAAGAAGCCAUUUUUUGAAGAAAAAUAAGUGGAUUACGAAUGUUUUUAGAAUUGCGGGAGUGCAAAGCACGUAGCAAUUGGG